UCUUAACAGUUCAAGUUCUAUCGAGGAGUUCUGACUCAUGGUUUCACUGUAGUGGAUUUCUGUGUCUCUGAUGCAUUGGCAGUGAGGAUCAAUCAGUCAUCUUGGAGAUGAAAAAAAGACAGUGCUGCAGAAAAAAGAAACAAAUGAGCUGCCAUUUUCCAGCACCUGCUUGUACCUUCUUCCAAGUGACUUCCCAUCCCUGUUGCCCAGUGAGCACAGAAUGACCCCAGAGGCAGGAUGCUGCUGAGUGCACAGCCUUUCUUCUUGGGGCAUAUGGAGAGGGAAAGGGCUGGAGAAGGGCUGCUCUCUCACUUGAUGUGCUCUAGCAGGCAAUGUGACUUCCAUUCCAUUGCAGCCAGCCGCUUCCUAAGGGAUUUGUGCCUGGAAAAUUAGAAGAAUGAGCCAUAUAAGUCCAUGAGAGAGGUUAUAAAAUAAACAUUAUACCAUGUGUGGGGUAACAUUUUUUACUGCAAGUGGCUGCUCUAACUUUCUGGCAUUUAUACACAUGGCCAUCUGUUUGAAGGCUGUUUGAAGUGGCUGUAUUCCAGAAUUUA